GUGAGUGUAGCUCAGGGGUAGAGCGCCGGACUGUGGCUCCGGAUGUCGCGGGUUCAAAUCCCGUCACUCACCCCA
rnacentral:tRNA from 1 species